rnacentral:lncRNA from 1 species
AAGGUGUAUUUUAUUUAGGGGGUUAAAUGCAUGCAGGUCCUUGCAAACAUAGUCAAUUACGAAUAUAUCCCUGUAAAAUGAAAACUACAUAAGUUGUCCCUGCAAAAGUUCAACGUUAUGCAGAAUUGUCCCUACUGUUAGAGUCUGUUAGAGAAAGUUUGUUAACCACAGUUAAACUACUUAACCAUGAAUAGUUAAUAAAAUGAAUUGACUAUUUUGCCCCUCUUAUGUUAUAUUCUAUUAACUUAACUAACCACCAUAGUGGGCCCUUAACCCUAAUUGAUUGGAACUGCCAGGAGAGCCCUCAGGUGUUCCGCCCGCGCGAGGAGAGCGACAGCGAUGCAAGGAGUGCGCCCGCGAUCGAGGAGGUUUAGUGCUCGUCUUCCUCGGGCAACAACGAGGUUUAUUGCUCAUCUUCCUCUUCCCCUUCCUCUCACUCCCUUAUAUUAGCUUUAGAUCUACCAUUACUAGGGUUUUAUCCAUCAUAUUCAUCACCGAGGUGUAAUGCUCUUCUUUUUUCAAUGAGAGCAAGGUGAGUGCAUUACAUAGUAUAAAUUCAAAACUUGGUCUAUCUGAUUGUUAGUUUUUGAAACAAUUUCUUAUAUUUUAGGUUAAUUUUAAAAUAAUUUUGGUCUCAAGAAGUAGUACUAUAGUAUGUAUUUGGGAAAUAUGUAUUGCUUGAAUAAUCCAAGUUAGAUGUAUAUAGACAUAUUUUUAUAGAGCAUUCGAGUAUAAUACCUAGUCAUUUUGUAUUUUAUUUUGUUUAUAUAGUGAAAGUUUGAUACCAGAUAUGGAGGAGAAAGGUUUUUUUCAAGUGAAGUUCAAUUAUGCUGGGUAUUUUAAAACAGUAAAAACUGCAUGUGGAUUGAGAUAUUGUGAUGGUAAGAAGCAUUCGUUGAUGAUAGAUCUUGAUGGUUAUAAUCUGUUUGAAUUUUGUCGAGAUGUACGAUCACUAUGGGAUUGGAGUGUUACGGAGAAUAUUGGUGUAUGGUAUAUAGCAAGAAAUGUUAAGCCAAAGAAAUUCAUUCAAGUAAUCUCUGAGCAGGAGUUGAUGGCUAUGUUUUCUAUAUACAAUGACAUGAAAGAAGUAGAAAUUUUUAUAACCAUUCAGUCGCGAGGCAUUCCAUUAAACUAUAAUGGUGAGAAAACUCCGACACAAGAGGGCAACAUUUAUAUGAUUGUUGAUAAUAUUGUGGGUAUUGCUAGUGAAGGUGGUGAAGGUGAUGAUGAUGGUCAAGUUGCCGAAGAAACAGUUGGUGAAGGUGUUGGUGAAGGUGUUGGUAAAGGUGUUGAUGAAGGUAUUGGUGAAGGUGUUGGUGAAGAUAUUGGAGGAGCAAUUGGUGAAAAUGUUGGUCAAGUCGCUGAAGAAGUAGUUGGUGAAGAUAUUGGUGAAAAUAUUGGUGAAUCAUUUGGUGAAGAUGUUGGUCAAGUUGCUGAAGAACCAGCUGGUCAAUCAGAUGCAGUGUUAAGUGAAGAUAGCUAUCGUCUUCUUAAUACUGAUGACUCUGAUGUAGAGGAUAAUAUGGAUCCUGUUGAAACAUUUUCAUAUGAUGUGAAUAACCCUAUUAUGGAAGUAGGAGCAAAAUAUCCAAAUGUAUCUUCAUUUAGAGAUGCAUUGACUCAUUUUGCCCUACUAAAUGAGUUUGAGUAUAACCUAAAAAAAAGUGAUCUUUUGAGGGUAACUGCAACGUGCGCAAAAUCUAAUUGCAAGUGGCGAAUCCAUGCAUCUAGACUUCAAGAUUCCUUAGUCUUUCAGGUAAUACCAACAUUAUCCUAUUUUUACUUUUCAUUCUUUAAUGCACUUCAAGUAUCAUUCAUUUAUAAAUGAAAGUUGCUGAUAUGUCUAAUUAACAUUUACGUGAUAGGUGAAGACUUUACAAGGAGAGCACACAUGCACGUCGGCCAAUAGGUGUCGGAAUAAAGUGGCAACACAAUCGUGGGUGUGCAAUAGGGUUAUUGGGUGGCUACGGUUGGAAGGAGAUAUAUCUACAUCUGAACUGCGGAAGAGACUGCAACAAAAAUAUCACGUGGACUUGACCUACUCCAAGAUAUUUAGGGGAAAAGAAAUGGCAUUGUCUAAGAUUCAUGGGCAUUGGGAGUAUUCGUAUCAAAGAAUCUUUGAUUUUAAAGAGGAAAUUGUGAGAAGAAAUCCUGGCAGCCACGUGGAGGUAAAGCUGGAAGUGAUUAACGGAGAGUAUCAUUUUCAGCGAGUUUUUCUUGCAUUUGGUCCAUGCAUACAAGGAUUCCUCAAUGGAUGUAGACCUUACAUUGCAUUAGAUGGAUGCCAUCUCAAAGGAAAGCAUAGAGGAGUUUUGGUAUCGGCCACAAGUAUUGACGGAAACUCCUCAAUUUUUCCAGUAGCUUUUGGUGUUGUGGAGUCGGAGAACUCGAAUAGUUGGGAAUGGUUUCUUCAUGGGUUGAAGACAGCCAUAGGAGAUUUCGAAGGCCUUGUAUUCUCAUCAGAUAGACAAAAAGGCUUAGAUGAGGCCGUUCAAGUUGUAUAUCCAAGAGUUGAACAUAGAGAAUGCAUGCGCCAUCUUUAUGCCAAUUUCAAGAAAAAAUUUCGUGGGGACUGCUAUAGAGACUCACUGUGGGCUGCAGCAAGAGCAUAUACACCUAAUGUUUACGAAACUAGCAUCGCUAAGGUGUAUGAAGCAAAUCCGAUGGCAUUUGAAUACUUGCGGCAAAACCACAGUUAUUUGUGGAGUCGAAGUAAAUUCGGAACCAUUGCUAAGUGUGAUUACUUGACUAACAAUAUAUUUGAAUCAUUCAACGCAUGGCUAUCUAAUGAUAGGCAUAGACCACUGAUUGAUAUGCUUGAUACUAUCCGCCAAAAAAUAAUGGUUAAGAUGGAGGAUAGAAGAAAUAGAGCAAGAAAAUGGGAUUCAGAAAUUGUACCAACGGUUCUCAAAUAUGUAAACAAUAUAAGCAAGGUAAUACACUGAUUUAUACUCUCUAAUGCAGUACACUGAGUUUUUCUUUACCUUUAGGCUAUAGUUUAAUUACUUUGGCCUAUUUAUGCUAUCUAAUUUAUGCUAUCUAAUGCAGUUUACUUUACUGAUUUUUUUCUUUACCUUUAAGCUAAGUCUAAUGCAGUACACUGAUUUAUGCUAUCUAAUGCAGUUUACUUUACUGAUUUUUUUCUUUACCUUUAAGCUAAGUCUAAUGCAGUACACUGAUUUAUGCUAUCUAUCUUCACAAUUUUAGGGUUUGGGUCAAUAUGAGGUGUUAUGGAGUGAUGAAUUUUCAGCAGAAGUUAUUGGACCGCAAUCAAGGUUUGAGGUGAGACUACAUGAUAUGCAGUGUAGCUGCAGGUUAUGGCAAGUGAAAGGUGUGCCAUGCAUUCAUGCAAUGUCAGUAAUAGGUAAAUUAAAACAUGAAAAGUGGGAAAAUUAUGUGCACCCAUAUUUUACGGUGGCCAAAUAUAAGGAGGCCUAUGCUAGUUCUAUUGCACCAUUACCCAGUUGUGAUCAAUGGGUAAAAAUUGAUAUCGGUCUUCGUGUAUUACCUCCUAUUUUAAAAAGGCCAGCUGGGAGACCUCGAAACAAGCGAAUUAGAGCAUCGGAUGAGAUGGCAAUCAGGAAGAGACAUCGAUGCAAAAGAUGCAAUAAGUUAGGCCACCGUGCAAAAACAUGCAAGAACCCUGUCGAUGUGAAUCAACAGGCUGCUGCAGGACCAUCUGAAGCAGCAAAUCAACAGCCUGCUGCAGGACCAUCUCAAGCAGCGAAUCAACAGCCUGCUGCAGCAGGGAAUCAACAGCCUACAGGACCACCACAAGUAGGUAAUCAGCACUCUAGAGCACCAAUUCAAGCAGAGAAUCAGCAAGCAGGGGAUCCGCACUCUGAACCACCAUCUCAAACAAGUAUUAGUAGUGGCAAAAGGUAAUAUGGUGACUAACAAUGUUCACUUUCCUUCAAUUUAUUGUCUUUACUACCAAAUUAACUAUAUAAAAACUGCAGGCGUAGAGGAAAGAGGGUAGCAUCGAGAUCAAGAUACUUACAGUCUCAAGAUGGAAGUACUAUUUCUGAAAUUGAUGCACUUGGUAGUCUAGAAAAUUAAGAUUUGGUUUAGACAAACAUGCAAUGGCAGUGAAAGCCUUAUUUUGGUAGAUUUGAAUGGAUGUAGUGACAGUCUUAUGUUGGUAGAUUUGAAUGUAUGUAGUGAUAGCCUUAUUUUGGUAGUUACUUGAACUGGUGGGUACUUGAAGUGCAAUCAGCCUCUGAAUGGUUGUAUGCAAUAUUUUGAUUUGAAUUUGGUCUACUUGAUGCUUGAAAGAGUGGGUGCUUGAAAUGGAACUUGAUGCAAUAACAAUUUUUGUACUGGUUUGAAACUUGAAUAGCAGUUGUUUUGGUUUGAAUAGAUAAUACUUGAAAUGAAAUGAUUGCGACCCUUGGAUGAUUUGUAUGCAAAAUAAUGAUUUGAAUGGAUAUGAAACUUGAUGCAAGAGCUGUGGAUACUAUGUUUGUAUGGAAUAACAUUGAAUGUGGAUAUUAUGUUUGUAUGGAACAAUAUUGACUUCGGAUACUUUGUAGAACAGAUUUUUUUCAAAGCUUUCAUUACUCUACAAAAUGUAAGUAGAAAUAAAACUGUUUUGUCACUCACUAUCUAAUGCAUUACAACAAGUACAAGAAUUACUAUUUUAUCACUCACAUUUUAUUACAUUGCCAAGUUAAACAAGAUAUUAACCAAUACUAAUCCUACAAGCAGCUUAAGUAGAAAUAAAGUUUUCUUUUCUAACUUCUGAAUACGAUGCUCCACUGCUUCUUGAAAUGCUUGUACUUGGUAUUUCAAAUCAACAGUAUUGUGGUGUAAAUCAUCAAUCCAACCAAAGUAAUUACAGUGCUCAUUACUCUGUAAAGUAUAAAACUAAAAAUUAGUAAAUGAGUAAAAGUUAGGGUUAAAUACUGCAGAUAAUGCAAAAGAAAUUGUUUUACCCCCCAGUUUGGACAUCCAUAGAACCGACGACCUCUAGUGUGCGGUUGCUUUGAAACCCAUAUUCUACAAGUUUUAAAGCAAUCACACUUGGGGAUUUGGUUGCUCGAAGAAGAAUCCGCUGAUCUUUCACUCAUCAUAAAAAUUUACAGGAGAAAAAAAAGAUUAAAAAAUAAAAAUUGCUGGGAUCUAACUGAUCAAAAUAAGAGAAGAAUAAAAAUAGUGUAUGAAUAAAGGAGAAAAGAACAAAAAAAGAGAUGUAUGAAAUGUUGCAAUGGAGUGAUAAAUUUAUAGAGGAAGAAUAUGACCGUUAGGGUCAUUUUUGGGGAUUUUGGGGUCAUUUAUGUACAACUUUCUUAAUUAUUUGGGGUUUUGGAGGGAUAUAUUUGUGAGGGCAAAAUGGACAUUUCACUUAUAAAGAACAAAUAUGACCGUUUGUAUUUUUGCGAGGAUAUUUUUGCAAAUAUUUAUCAGUUAGGACUUUUGGAGGGAUAUAUUUGUGGGGGCAAAAUUGUCAUUUCACGUUUGUAUUUUUGCGAGGAUAUUUUUGCAAAUAUUUAUCAGUUAGGACUUUUGGAGGGAUAUAUUUGUGGGGGCAAAAUUGUCAUUUCACGAAUCCACUGUUAGAAAAUUAACAGCUUACUAACGGAUGUUAACUGUAGGGACAAUUCUGCAUAACUUUGAACUUUUGCAGGAACAACUUAUGGAGUUUCUAUUUUGCAGGGAUAUAUCCGCAAUUGACUAUGUUUGCAAGGACCUGUAUGCAUUUAACCCUUUAUUUGGGAAGUAAAACCUUAGCUGAUGAACUACUUUACGGAUAUUCAAAAUUUUAUUUAAAUUUAAAUUUUAACCGGAACAAAUUUAUUUAAUACUAAAUAAAUAUAAUUUUAAAUAUAGAUAUUAAAAAUAAAAAUUUAAUGAAUAUAAAUUUGAAUAUGAAUUUUGAUUGUAACUAAUCUGAAUGCGAAUUUAUUUUUAAUUAUGUAUAAUAUGUAUACAAAUUUAAUUUUAUAUUUGAAUUUGUAUUUUAAAAUUUUAAAUUUAAUGUAAUAUAUUUUGAAAUAUUAAAACAAAAAUUAAUUAUUUUAGAUUUUUAUCGAUUUCGGAUUUGGAUACGGAUUUUUAAAAGUCGUCGAGUUUGGAGUCGGAUUCUGAUUCGAAUUUUAAAAAAAAUCGCCCUUACUCCGAUCCAUUGACGUCUCUACGGCUCUUGCCAUUAAUAGGUAAUUAAAACUAAGAAUUAUUGCAUACAGCUUCCCAUAAAUAUAAUAAAUUACAAAUAUAUUUAUAUAAAAAUUAACUUUUUUAUAUUAUUUCUAUAAAGGUUUGAAAAUUUUUUGUUAGAAAAAUUUAAUUAAACAAAGAUAAAAUAUUUAACUUUGGUUAGUUAAUAAAAUAAAUUGAUAUUUUUUACCUCUCUUAUAUUAUUAUGCUCUCUUCUCUUAAUUAAAAUUCUAGUAAUUAGAAUUUUUUUCUCUUCCUCUUUCUUUUUUUUUUCUUCGUACUAAUUUCGAAUUUAUAAUUAAAACUUCGCUUUCACAACGCGUGUUGCUUUCCUCGUGUUGAACCCAUAUUGUUUUUUCAUUUAUUUAUUUAUUUAUUUAUUUAUUUUUGCUCAGUAGAUGAUCAUUAAAAAAUUUUUAGGAAAAAAUUUCAAUACGGUUGUAAUGUUUGAAAUUUUUGAAGGUACAUAUUUAUGAUGAUAAAAUUAAUAUUUUACUUAUUAUCUGAGAUUAAAAAAUAAAUAAUUUUUUAACGAUAAUAAAUCAGAGAAUUAAUGUGAAUAUUAAUUUGUCUUUUAUAAAAAUAUAAAGACAGCGGUGACAAAGGAGGACGAGACGACACAAUAUUGUACUAUUUGAACAUAUUUUUACAUCUGCCUCAACUAGAAACUAAAAUCAAAUCCCCAAAAAAAACAAAACAAAACAAAAUAAGAUAAAAUAAAAAACAGCGAUAAUAAGAAAUGUUGAGAUUGGGAUCCUCGAUCGUCUCCCCAACCUACUACUACUACUACUCCUCCUCCUCCGCGGCGGCGGCGUUCCCCUCUCCGGCGCCGUAGAAAUCGACCAAAUGCUUUAAGAUUUGAACCUGCGAUCGGAGCCGUUCGAUGUACCCCGCCGCCUCCUCCAGGAGCAGCUCCGCCUCCGCCUCCGCCUCCGCCGCGCCGCCGCCGCCGCCGCCGUGGGAUCGCAGGGACGAUGGGAUCAGCAGCUUCAGCGCCUCGAGCUUCUCCGCUACUCGCUUCAUCUCCUUCCUCCGGCCCGAUUGCUUCGGGGACCUCCGCCUCCUCCAUCCAUGUCCUCUUCUUCUACCUCCUCCUCGUCGUCGUUGUCGUAGGGUUUCGCGGAGGAUCGGGGACGAGAUCGACCUCGCGGAGGGGAAGCUCAUGGCGGUGGGGAAGUAGACGAGGAAACGGCGAAAAAAAAAAAAAAUUAUUAAAUGAAACUUCGAAAUGGGAGCGAGAGGAACUUAAAAAGGGCGCAGCAGGAGAGGAAGAUGGUUUCUUGGUAAAUUUUCAGAAUCUCAGGGGCAAAUAUUUACUGAAAAUAAAUAAAUAAAUAAAUAAAAACACUGAUUAGGAACGCAAGAAGCGCCUGCGUGUCCCGCGAAGAGAUCACGUGGGAGCACAAUAUGUUCACGUGCUUAAAUUCCCAAAUUACCCCUCCCUUAGCGGGUCAAAUUUUUAGGAUUUUUUUUUAAAUUUUUUUUUUUUUACAACCUUUUAAUUCUCUAUAUUAUUUUUUUUAUUAUUAUUACACUUUUUUUAGGAAGAAAUUUUAUUAGAAUAAUUCAGAAGGUGGACAAAAAAUAGAUUCAAUUUUGCAGCUCAAGUAUCGCAAAAAAUAUAGAAUAUAUCAGUUAUAUGACUGACGUGGCGCGGCGUCUUCAACCAAUAAAAUUAUAAUUUUUGAGUUCACUCGUUCCAUCGUGAUUAAUAGAAAAAUAAUUUUAUUAUACUUUUCUCUUUAAAAAAAAUGUGAUUGGCUUGUUACUGAUGAUGUAGUACAAGUAUGACACAAUAAGCUUUAUCUUCAGUAUCAUGAUUUAAGUAGUAUAUUUAUCUAUUUUUUUUGGUUUUUUGGUUUUUGUUUUCUGUCUUUUUUUUUUUCUUUAUUCUGAUUGUCUUACAUAUCUUUCCGAGACUGCGAGUCUCAACUCUUGUAGCUAAAUUCAUAUGCUAAAUAAUUAAAACGGAUAGCGUGCUAUUUUUUUCUAAAAAAAUAUUUAUUUUUAUAUACUAUUAAUGUGUUAUUAAUUUUAGAUAAAAAAACGUACAAAACUUAUUUUAGUUAUAGAUCAUUUUUAGUUGGUUGUUCAAUUUUUCAAAUUUUGAUUUUAUUGUUAAAAUAUUUUAGGCUUCAAUUGGGAUUGCAGGAAGAUUGCGUUACAUGCCGUAAGAAACGACAAUGAAAAAAUAAUUCUGUUUGUUUCCGUACGUAAUACUGCGUUCAGCAUAUUGUGGUUAGUUGGUUACGAUAUAUUUUCUACGGUCCAAUCGGAGAAUGCAAAAGCAUAUCCCUAUAUGCUUUUUCUUAACUCCAUUCUAUCUAAUAGCGUUAGAUCCACCUCAAUACCAAACUAAGCCUUAAUUUGUUUAUUUUGAAUUAGUCAACAUACCUUAAUUUUAAAAUUUCAACUAAUUACUUAGUUUAAUAAAUUUAUUGUUCGACAAAAUUGUAUGAGAUAUUCUAAUUAAACCUUUAAAGAUAAACAACAAGUUCAAAGUUUGAAGCAAGUGCCGUCGACUAAUUCAAAUCAAAAAGGAUUGUAUAGUAAAAUCAACAUUAUGAAAUAUUGAGUAACUAAAUCAGAAUAGUCCAUGGUUAAGAAAAAUUUUGUAUAUUUUAUCCUUAAUUUUAUGUGAUAUACGUAAGAGUGUUCAAACUAAUCAGCAACAUACAAGGACUAUUGUAAAAGACUAUAGCAAAUUAGUAGUAAUACUCUUUUAAAUUACAUCCAUUAUAUAUACAAGGCUCCUUUUUUUCUUUUCUUUACUUCUUUAAUUUGACGGCGCAUUUUGGAUUCAUAUUUGAAUACAUUGAAAAUGAAGGCUAACACAUAUUAGUAUACUUGAAACUCUGAGCCUAGUAACUUAGAGAGCUCAAAUAAGCUAGAAAGGAGUGUUAAUUAGCAUUUGCUUAGCUCGCUAUUAAUUGUAUUUAUUUUCAAUAACAGUAACUUUUAGCUAGGUAUUUAAUAAAUAUAAAUAUUUGUUAUUUACUACUGGAGAGAUUUAUGUUGCAUGUUAUUGUAUAACAAAGCUAAUUGUGUGACAAGUAAUUGAAAAAAAAAAAUGAUAUAUCAUAUAUAGGAACAAGUAGCUAUAGGGGUAGGAAAAUACAUGAUAAGAUAAAUUUGCAUAUGGUGGCACGUGUGGAGUGGCAUGUGAUCAAAACCACAAGGCACCAAUACAUGCAUGGGGACACUCUUUAAUUACAAAUUGGAUCCAAGUGCAUGGUGGUACUUGAGCCGUAGCACAUGUGAUCACACCCUUGUGUGGUCCUUUCCUCAUGUGGAGAUCUCAACCAAUGAUCAUGUUACACCCCAGGAUAUAUGAUGAUCUUCUUAUGUUGUGGCUAAUUUUGCGUGGUGAUCACAUGCAUUCCCCAUGCGCUUCAUUUGCUCGAUCUGCACCUUUUAUCUCUAAAAUAUAUAUUCUUAUGAUCAACAGUACUUAAAAAUAACUUGCAAUUGACUUGAGCGGAGAGGUGAAACUCAGGUUCCAUUAUUUUCGAUAUUUAUUUUGGUGUAAGUUAAANGAAAAAGAGAAAAAAGAAACCACAGGGGGACGAAUUGAUACAUUUUAAACCACAGGGGGGCAAAGUGAGAAACUACGAAACCACAGGGGGGGUUUUUGAAGUUUUUCAAUGUAACUCAAGUUAUAUACAUUAGACCUCUACUUCCCCCUCUAAAGUGCCGAACUCGACUUCCGCCACACUCAUCCUUCUUUAAAAAAUUUAAUAAAUAGUAAAAUCUAAACACUACUUCCUUUAUAACGGAUUAGAUUACCUUAUUUAUAAUAAAUUAGAAUUAUCUUUAAAUAGUAAUGAAAAUUCUAAUUAUUUAAUAUAUAGGUUAAAUUUUAUAGGAGUAAGUUUACCAUUAUAUCAGGAAAUAACGGGAUCCACUUACUUACAUCAAAAUAAACAGUAAAACUCAAAAAACUAAUUUUACCAACACCAAAUUACAUCAAAAUAAACAGAAGAAGUAAUUGAAUUUAACUUUCAAACUAUACGGAUUACGUCAAAUUAAACAAAUAAUAAAAAAAUAAUCACACUUUAAAAAAACUUAGAUACUAUUAUAUUUGAGUUACGUUAGAACUACAGAUUCAAUCCAAACGCCCGAUAGGGGGGGGGGGGGGGNUGCAUGCGGAGCACAAGGGAAUGUUCAAGUAAUGUUGUGCACAUUCUAAACACUCCACCCCUGUCACGUGUGACAGCGACCUCUCAUGCACUGAUGCAGUACUGCACCUGCAAGGAAGGUGCAUGGGAGAAAAAAAAAAAAAAAAAAUCAAUAAACAUUGCUACCACAAGGUGUUCUCUCAUCAAUGAUUGGUGAUGUGUUGGUUGUUCAUGAAUAUAUAAAAAUAUUUGUAUCAUCCCCAAUUUUUAAGCUCCCUUAGUUCUGUCACGUUGCGAGUUCAAAUGGAUUUAAUCUGCAUCUUUUGCACGUACGACUCUCACCUCACUUGUAUAUCUUCUAUCAGAUCUUUGUUUGUUUGAUAGUUAUUAAAUGGUUCGCUCGUUGUGAGAGAGUGCGUUAAUAUAACAUACCAAAAAAAUACUAUUCUCAUAUAAAUUAAGCUUUUAGAUGUAAAUGGUUGCUUUACAUCAUUUAACACUAAGAGUUACAAAUACAUACAUUUAGAUGUUUAAACAUCUCUUUUGGUACUUGGGACCCGUUUGAUCCACACUAUAUACCAUUAUUGGUUAUUUCAAUAUAAUCAAUUAUCUGAAAUUUCUGAAUCAGAUUACAAUUAAUACAGCAUCAUUGUGUUUAAUUUAGUACAAUAAUAGAAUGUUAAAUUACAAUAUAUACAUGAUUAUUAUAUUCGGUUUAUUUUAUUAAAUUUAGUAAUUCCGACAGUUUGGAUUACAGUGUAUAAAAAAGUAUGCGACUAAUAAUCAUUAUGGCUGGAUAUUAUCCUCAUGCAUGUACAUAUCAUGAAUGUAAAAAAUAAACUUGCCAUGGACUAAAAUUGACAUUUCAAUUAACCAUUUUGAGUUAAGUUUACUUUGUCAUUUGAAUUAGAGAUUUUGUCAAAUGUGACAGCUCUGCUUUCUCUUUAACAAGGAUCAUGCAUUCGAUCGACAGAUAAUAACUAAUAACUAAAGGCCAAUGAAGCCGUUAACUUGAAAAAAACUGGUUAUAAAACCUAAGAAAUAAUUCAAACUCAAAUAAAUAAAGCGACUACGAGAGUUGAGUUAGAAUACUAUUAAUAGUGGCAUAAGAUUUUCUUUUUUUCCCCUUUCUAAAGCAAGUGAAAAAUUUUUUAUGGCUUGAGCUUUGGAUAUGGGCCACUUAGGAGUAUGAAGAAUUGGCCUUAUCUAUGUAUUUUAAUAGAGUCCAUAAUGAAAUGCAUUACAUGGCCCAUUACGUGUGGUAAGCCUAGCAUUGUUGGACUUAUUUUAUAAAUACAGUGUACUUAAAAAUACAUAUAAUUAAAAAUGUAAUAAAUAUAAUUAUAUAUAUCUUAUUUGAUUGGGUGUUGAAAAAAAUGUUGCAGCUAUAAGUACUCACUUUAGUUGCAUGAGGUUGAAAAGUGUAUUUACGGUAUAUAAGUACUUUAUCAUUUUAUAUAUGGAGCGGCGAGCUUACCAUUUAUCAUGUAGGAAAGGAAAAAAUAAAAUUUAUUUAAAGAAUUAUUAAGAAGAUAAGUUUAUUUUUAUUUAAAAGUAUUCUCUUUGAGUGCUGCACUUGAGUCUCUUUGUGCAGCUGCAACUGUAGCAGUUAAAUUUAAAUACAUCAAAAAAAACUCCGAAUUUGAAUCUCCAUACAGUUAUGAUUGCAGUACAGUUACACUUAUGCGCAACUAAACAACCCCUUAAGAGAAACGUAGUAAUUUUUUUUUGGGAAAACUUCAAAAAAAAUCCCUGUGGUUUCGUAGUUUCUCACUUUGCGCCCAUGUGGUUUAAAAUGUGUUAAUUUGCCCCCAUGUGUUUUCGUUUUUAUUCUUUCGGUAGCUUUUUUGUUAAUAUUUCAUUAAAUUAUAUACAAAAAACUUCAGAUAUCCAUCUAGAUUUAUUAAAUAUUUACCUUAGUAUCCUUUAAUUUUAACUUUAUCACUGAUUUUAAAAAAAAUGAUGAAAUUGAUAAAAAAAAAGAGAAAAAAGAAAUCACAGGAGGGCAAAUUGAUACAUUUUAAACUACAGGGGGGAAAGUGAGAAACUACGAAACCACAGGGAGAGUUUUUGAAGUUUUCCCUUUUUUUUUUCAGGAAAGACAUAAAAAGAGCCCUUAAACUUUAGCACUUUUGUAAAUAAAUAUUCUAAAUUUUUAAUUUGAGCAAUUAAACUCUUUAACCUUUAUCAAAUAAUUUACUAUGUCCCACUCCUCAAUUGAAGUUACUAACUAUACUACCAUUUUGACCACAUGUCUUUCAAUUAUGAUAAUUAAGUAUGAGAAUUUUAAAAAGGGUAAAUCUAUCAUCAAUUUUUCUAUUUAUUCUUUAGGAUAUAUUUUAAAAAUUUACAAGAUUGUAUGCAUUUAAAUGCAACCAAAAGCUGUGAAAUCACCACAUUUGAUUGGAAAGAGGGGCAGGUUCAUCUAUUUGAUAUUUUGAUACAAGUUUUUAUGGGUGUGUAAUUGUCAAAAUUAAAAGUUGAAGGGUUUUUUUUACAAAUGAGCUAGAGAUUAAGAGAUCUUUGCACAUUCUUUUCUAUUUUUUUAUUCAUAUACUCUCAAGUUUUAAUUAAUAUUUAUUAGUAAAUAAAACUAGAUUAAUUAACUCCUAAUAGCUCAUUAAUGCAUGGAAUUCAAUAAAAGUAACAACUUAAAAUAUUUAAAAAUUUAAAUAAAAAAAUUUAGAAGUUAAAGGAGUGUUGACAAAAAAGAUCGAAGUUGAGGGGUCUGUUUUGUAACAUACUUUAGUUGAGGGGUCGGAAAAAUAGAAACCCACGUGGACCGUUGAUUUUGCUUCACGGUCCCAUCCCACCGUCCAUCUUUCCCCGGUGAUCAAGUAUUAAUGAUCCGAAAUGGACGGCUCUGAUCAUCACCGCACCAAACCCAUUAUAAACCUACCUAAUGCGACAAUGGAGAUAUAUAAUAAUUUAUAAUAAUCUCCAAAAAACCUUUUUUUUUUCCUCUCGCUCUCUCUCUCUCUCUCUCUCUCUCUUUUUAAUUACCAAAUCUCCCCAUUUCCCCUGUUCCCGUUCGCCAACGGUCAUCGGAUUCUUUCCGAUCCUCAUCGAGAUCGCGUGAUUCGAGCAUUUGGAUCGGAGAAUUUGGAUCUCCGCUAUGUGAUUUUGGUAUUUCCCCCUUUUUGUUACGAAUUUUAGGUUAUUUUUAAUGCCCGUUUUGGUUCAGAAUACUUAGUUCUAUUUCUUGGUGGAUCGAUCGAUCGAAUUUCGUCGUUUUUUUUUUUUUUUUUUUCUUAAUGUCGUAUUUCUUAGCGGAGAUUUGUUGUAUGAAAAUUAUAUAUUUGAUUUAGGGGAAAAGAAAAGAUAUCUUUGUGUGUUUUAAUCUUUUUAUCGUUUAUUGUGUAGAAAUUUUCAUCACGAGAGAUGGGCGUGGAUGUAAUAAUUGAAUUCGUUUUCUUUCUUCCAUCCAAACUCUGGUAUUGGUCUUCAUUAUUUGAUAAUUGGUUGUUUCUUUUCAUGAUCUGCCCUAGUUUUUCACUGUAGCUGUAGUUGAUCUAUUUAUGUGAUCCUAAGUAGCAUAUUGAGUUCUUCGAAAUGAUGUUCUUUCAUAUUGCAAUAUGAGAAAUGCAGUAAAAAGAAAAAAAUGCAGAAAAAUUAUCAUGAAAAAGUUAUACUUGAUGUCGGUUCAUAACAUGAUUCACGCCUACUUUUUAGCUGUAGCCAUAGUAGUCUAUUUGAUAGUAAGUCGCAUAUCAGAGUUCUUGAAGAUGGUGUUCUUUCAUUUUACUUUGUAGAGAGUUUUACUCGUAGUUACCAUGAUUGCAGACCCCCUCUGAACUGCAAUCCAGUUCGAACGUUCUGAGUUUUCUGACUCGUGGUGGGUUCUCGAUCCGGAUCACAGAAAGUGGCGAAUCGAGAAUUGUGAAGUACUUCAAUUUUCUAUAUAUAAUUUGUUAGGUAACCUACUUACCUUAAAUAAAUGUGUUUUACAAAGUAGAAUAAUACUAAAGAAUCAUGCCUGAGUGAAAACAGAAAGAGUUGGUUUUGAUUAGAGAGAAUACCUAAUCAAUCUUAAUGAAAAUAAAAAACUAUAAAAUAACAAAAGUAAGUUUUUGAUUUUUUUUUAAAUAUUUGUCUAUCUGUAUAGACGUUAUGAACGAACCAGUAACCACAUUUCAGAAUUUUGUUCCAAAUGAAUCACGUUUUGGAAUAACGUUCGAACUAAUCCUGCCCCUCUCGUAUCUUGUUCCUGAGAAACUAACGUACCACAUCUACAAAUAACAUUGGUUUUACUGCAUUUCUUGUUUAGCAUGUAGGACUGUGUAUGUUUCCGUUGUGAGCACAUUAGAGUGUAACUGUGAUUUCUAUUUCCUUUUAUCUGGUACAACUGUCAUGCUUAUCUUAUGCACGCAUUUAAAAUCCGUAUUCUUGUUUGAUAAAAUAUUCUUGUUAGAUAUCUGGUUAUUAUCUCUAUCUGUAUAAGAGAUGAUACUACUGUUCAACAUUAUCUUCACUUAAAGCAUAUGAUUCUGAUAUAAUACAUGCAGAUGUUCUUUAGAGUCACAAGCUAUAGUGCUAGCCUUACCCUAUGUUUUCAGUUCAACCUUGUUUUCUUAAAUUGACUCUUUGCAGCAAUAUUUGAUUGCUCAGUGUCCAUGUUGUAGUUGCUGGCAUCAAAGAAGAACAACUAAUACCAUGAUGCGACAUACAUGUACGGCUCAUUGAUUGUCUUUUGCGGGUUGGCCGAAGUGGACUUGGCCAAUCAUUGACAUUAUGUGAGGAUUUUUCUGGUAUAAUUGUCAGUAAAGAGUUCUUCGAACACUGUAGGCGCGAAUUUGAUACUCUGUAGGCAUCCUUUGCAGGAAAGGAGAUGAAAGAACUGUAGAGAAAGAAGAAGUAGAAGAGGAAAUAGGUGAGGGGGGGAAAAAAGAAAAAAAAAUGGAAGAAAAGAAGAGCCAUACAUUCCAGGGCAUGAAAAAAUAAUUUUCUUGUCCAAUACUUAGCACCAUGAGGUCCUUGACUUAAUUAUGUUUGACAUGUUGAACAGACUAGUUGAAACCUUAUUUUAAUAUGCCAUACAAGCCUUUUCAACUAAAGACUACGAAUCAAAAACCAAAAGGUGUACUCUCAAUUUGAAAAAUACAUUGUAUUUCAGUUGGUAUUUAGUUUGGGAAGAAUUCUCUACCAAUGUUUGUCUCUUAGAUUAGGUCUAUAUGGAAUCUCGAUGGUACUAGAAUCCAACUAGGGUUCAUUAAAGUAGGAAAACAGCUGUUAGUGGAGAUUUUAGUUAAAACUCAUUUAACUCAUUUCCUUGUGCUUUACUAAGUUGAAGUGUUAGAUAUUAUACUCUCAGUGAUAAUUUAUAAAUAAUAUUACCAUUCAUAUUUCAUUUUCUUAUUUGUGAGUAAUGCAUAAAAACUAUAUUCACAUCACAUCUUUAUGUCUUAUUAGUAAUAGAAAUGACUGUUCAUUACUAAUAAGUUAUGCCAUGUCAAACACAUCUCAGUUUGUCAAUUAUAAGAUUUAAUUUGAUGUUCAUAUAUCAUAACUUCAUAAUAAUAAUUUUCAUUUGUCCUUUAGUAAAUCCUCCUCUUUUUUUCUCUUUGUUAUUUAGCCAAUCGUAGUAAAAAAAAUUGUGCAAAAUGUUGAGAAUCUUUCAAGAAUAAAGAGUAAAAUUGACAUUUUGUUUCAUCAUUAAUGAGGUAUGCAUAAAGAGCAAAGCCUAUAUUCACAUUAUUUCAUUUAUAUUGCACUAAGAGACGGAUGACAAUUCAUGAUUGAUGAGUUAUGAAAUACCGUACUCAUAGUAAUUCUUCAUUGACAAGAAUUGAAUUUGAUAACGUGUUUCAUAAUUCAUAAAGUUGAGCCAACCAUGUUCCAUAUGAUAUCGAGCUAGACUAUUAGACCACAUUUUGACCCACUUUUAUCCCAUCCACAGCGCUGCUCGGGUUUUUCACUAGUUUAUCUUAUAGGAGACUCAUGUUUGUUUCUUUUAUUUUAUAGGAGACACAUGUUUGUUUAUUUUAUUUUAUGGGAGACUCAUGUUUGUUUAUUUGCUGUUUGAACUUCCAUUAGUAUCUUAACAUCUACUCUAAAGAUAUUUGCUGUAGUUUAAAUUAACCAUUUCUUACUCUUUAUCUAUAAGCGAAUCUUUCUAAUUGUUCCAUGGACAUAUCAUGACUGGAUCCCGUAAUUUUUAAUUUUAUGUUAAUAUUGUCUACUAUAUUAUUAUGUGAAUAAUUGACCUCAAGGCUGAGCUACUCUAAUACUGGAGUGGUAAUGAGGAUCUUUAAAGGAAACUGAAGAACUUCAAUAGUUGAAGUGCUUCUGAUAGGUGAAAUUGCCAAUCGUUAUACUCAAAUUUCGUAACUCUUAAAAACUGAAUCAACUUGAUGAAAAAGUUGAUGAGCUUCUAUUUGCAUGAUUUUAUUGGGGUGUCCUUGGCAUUGUCAUGGCGUCUUUUUGAUCCGCAAGCUACCUUCUUAGUCAAGAUAAGUGUGUGUGCUGUUCAUCACCGAUAAAUUUGUGAUGAUAUUUAGACACUUUUGGCCCUUCGAGUCUCUCCAAGAACAUCUUGCUUCUCUAUUAAGUUAAUUGCUGUCAUUAUUUACCCAAAAUCUGUCUGGCCUUCACGAUUGGAACAAUUAACAAUAUUGCUGCAUGUUUCUUUCCAAAUUGCAUCAUUAAAUGAGAUUAUUGAAUAAGAAAUAUACUCACACUUCAUGAUCUUCAAAUGUCUCGGGUAGUGCUAUUUAUGGCUCUGGUCACAAUGAUUUGCUUGUUGAAUCAACCGAUGACUAGACACAUGAAAUCUAGUAGUUGAAAAAUUGUUCGUUACAUAUUAAAUUGCUAACCUUUUAAUCAUUUUGACUUUCUGCAGGUGAAAAUCUAACUAGGGCAUGCUAUUUCCGCUCUUCUCAAGGCUACUUGGACCAUUUCAUUUUCACUUUCGACUUUUUCCGAGGCAAACCCAGUAUGUCCAACUGGUUAUACGGUGAAGUUCUUAAGGCUGUAUUUCCCCAUUUGGACGGUAAAGACCUUGUAUCGUGCAUGCUGGUCUGUCGUCAGUGGAGGGACAUUGCAAGAGAGGACUAUUUUUGGAAAUGUAUUUGUGCAAAAAGAUGGCCGUCGGUUUGCAGGAAACCCCCUCCUGCCCUAAGCUAUUUCAAUCUUUUUGCGACCUUCUCCAAGCCCCACCGCUGUCAAACCCUCCCCCCACCAAUGCUUUCCUUCGAUGACCUGGUCUUCUACAUUGACCUCUGGUUGGAAGAGAGAGUUAUAUUGUCUGAAGCAGUCGCAGGACCUGCGCUUCGAUUGGGCAUAAAGAACCCGCCGCACGGCAUACCGGAUGUCCUCAAGACCCACCUGGACGGCCCAGAUUGCAAGCUGCUGAUGCAGGUGGAGCCGAGGCUGACAGACGUUCUGGGACAGUCAGUUACCGUGUCAGUCCUCGUGGCCCGGAAAGACACCAAUAAGAUGGCCUGCAUUGUUAACAAAUCUCUUUUUGAUUAUGUCGAUAGUACUGCAGGGCGGGCACUGGCUUACGACUAUCUCACCUUCUCUCCCCGGUACCCGUUCAUAGCUGAUAUUCGGGCUUGGGUGUCCUUGCUCUUUUUGGCGAAAGGCAACAGUGUUAUCGAAGUGUUUGGAAUCGAAAUUGAUUUCUGUGAUGCUGCGCAGUCGGAGAUGGAGGUUUUGUGGCUCUUAGACAUGCUUGACUGGAAAUAAAAUGAGGGGAUUAUGAUGUUGUUGCUUGUAAAUAGGCAGGAAAUAAAUUCGAGUUAUCUGAAUUUUCUUGAGGUAAUCUCUGCUAUUUAUUGCUUUUAGUACGAAAUAUCUGUUCCUAUUUUCUGGUUUCUUCUGAAUAUUUUGAAAUGAUCUUGCUCCUUACUGCUUAGUGUGCAUGUUUUCAAAUUCACAAACCUAAGGCCUAUUGGGAUAUCUAAUGUUAACAGAAUCUGGAGUUAUUCCUCUGCAUUGACUCGGGACAAUUUUCGUUUUACCAUGUACUUAUUUUUAGUACUCAUCUUGUUCGAACUCUGAAUUUUUUUUGUAGGCAAAAAAUAUGGACAUCGAAUUAAACAAAAGGAUUCUCAAGCAAAAUAUUUGUGGACAUUGAUUUUACUAGAACUGUUUUAAACAUUAGAAUUAACUUUUGUUUUCUUCUUUUAUUUAGAAUAAUUGAUGGCUAUUGAUUUAAAUAAAGAGUGUCAAAUAAUUUGUGAAGUUCAGCAUUAUAUAUAGUCCUUAAGCUUGCUUGCCGACCAUGGAGAGAGCAACCCAGGCCGAGAAUCCGAACAAAAGUUGGGUGGGGACGGUCAUUGUGAGUCUGUCUGUUCCACCUACCGUUCAUCAUGUGAACUGAAUCUAAAAGAUCUAUGGAUGGCGGAUGGGGUGGUCUCACAAUGGGGACCGCAUCCACCAUUUUUAUUAAGGAUGAUGAUUUGGUAUUGGUAGGAUUCCAUAGGAAAGAGCAAAGCGCGCCAUUUCAAACCAUCAUCCUAUGACAGCUAACAGCUUUUUUGGGGCCAUGCUUUUGUUACUACAUAUGCAAUGCUUCUGCUUUUGGUUUGUGAUGCUCUGCUAGGUUUUGAAGAAACUAUUGCACGCACCUCAUGCACCGUGCCUCCUGUGCAGCGUCCAAUAAGACGCCGCCUAUCUCACAUAGUAUAAUAGGAUUGGUUCAGGGUAUCUCCUAUACGGUAUAGCUGUUACAAACAAAGAUCUUUUCUGAUGUAAGGGCAUAUCACUGGGCGGUGCACUGUGACUUGGUGCGCCGAAUGGAGGCCAUCAUGGUAAUAUUUAUCCUUGGUGUUUGUCAUUCCAAAACUGUUGCUAGAAAUCCUAGUGGUGCCCAUCCACAUCUUUAUAUAUUUAUUUAUUCAUUUGUUUAUUUAUUUAUUUGAAGAAGUUGCCACCAUUCCAAGUCCAUUGUCACCUAGCGAGCUCUUCUUGCUUUAUUCUGCUGUUUUUAGUAUCUUAGAAUUCCACUUCUUUGCAAACAUUAUGCAAUAAGUAAUUCCUUCUAACCAGGUUCAUUUGUUUCCAGUAGUGUUGUCUCAGAUGAAGCACUUAUUAAGUUACUAUUCUAAAGAGUAUUUACUUUUGUUUGUAUUGUUUCUUUUUUCAGCUUCUUUGAUUUUAAUGUGAAGCAGCUCGAAUAGUAACAAGUGUUCCCCCACACAAUUUGUUUUUGUUUUUUUUUUUCCUUCUUAUUUUAAUGUGCUUUUAAAAUAAGAAAGAAAACAGAAACUUUGAUACAUAGGAAACAAAGAGUUUAUUGGAGUUAUCUAAUGAAUCAUUUGUCCUGUUGUCUGUUGUCACCAUGGAAGUUACAUAGUUUAAGAUUUUGGAUUGCCUAGAACAACUCGCCCAUGCUCUAUAUGUGUUCUCUUUUUUUUUUGUGGGAUAACUUAUUCGGUUGCUGGAUUAAUUAUGCUUCUGAUUCGUGAUGGAGAAUAAUAAAUAAUUCUAUAUCUUGGCUAUAUCUGUCAUCAUUUAAUAUCUAUUUGGUCUCUUUCUUUUGCUUGUAGCAUAAAAUGUUGGCGGAGCUUCUGCUGCAGAGGAAAGUAAGAAAUGUAAUUCUAAACUCCGAAAGUAGAAGCACUGAAUUUGUCAUUUGAUUCUGCUGCAAAAAAGAAUUGAAGUGUUUUACUGUAAUGCUUCUUCUAAUUAAGAGCGCUAUUUUUCACUAGUCUUAAAUUAAAGGAAAAACCUCAAAUACCAUCCGUGUUUUCGUAAUUUCUUAUUUUAGUACGUUUAAAGUAUAUCAUUUUAGUACUCUGUGGUUUUAUUUUUUUAUUUUUAUUAUUUAUUUUACUAUUUUUUUUUGUUAAAUCAGUGAUAAAGUUAAAACUAAAGAGUAUUAAAGUGAAUAUUCGACGAACUUAAAUGGGGUAUCUGAAGUUUUUUGUAUAUAAUAAUUUAACGAAAUAUUAACGGAGGAGUUGAUGAAAAAAGAAAAAUGAAAUCACAUGGUACUAAUUUGAUACAUUUUAAACCACUGGCCGGUACUAAAGUGGGAAAGUGCGAAAUCACAGGAAUGAUAUUUAAAGUUUAUUCUAAAUUAAACAAUACUAUACCCUACAGCAGAAUAAAAUAAACUUUAACAGAUGUGCUUUUUCUUAGCAUAAUUUUGUUUCCAGAUGUUAUCCUGAAUGUCAGUUUGGUGCCUUAUUUGCUCAGUGUGAAAGCAGGUCAGAACAUUUGACAAGGGAGUCAAAAUUGGUUGAAUUUUGUCAAAAUUCUUACUUUGGUACAAACAAUCUUUCAAUGAUAUACAGCAAUCAAAUGUCUACAUCCCAUGUGCUGCUGCUGGAGAUGCUGCUUUUUUGGCACUACCAAUUAUUGCUUGUGAUGAUGAAAUGAUUUAGAUCCUUGUCGUUAGUAUAGAAGUUAUUUAUUCUUCCUUUUUUAAUUUUGUUGCUUAAUUAAAUCUCUCAUAAAAUGAUAAUUUUAUGCAUAAAAUUAAAAAAGUGGUCUAAAAAAUAGUAGGAUGACAAAUAUGGGCUUGAAAAAACGAAACUGAUUGGGCAACUUGUAUGUAAAAUUUUGUGGAUUCAGUUUCUUAAUUUCCACACUCACUUGUCUUUGUUUUCCUAACCCAAAUUUGUUUUGACAAAUUUACACACAUCUCUCUCUCUCUCUCUCUCUCUCUCUCUCUCUCUCUCUCUCUCUUGAGUUUGUAACAUUUAACCACGUAUAGGCUAGUUAUACAUUCUCGCAAGAUACAUAUAUUACAGCUUCUUAAUGCUAGAGUAUAUUUUAUACAUAUUAGAAAAUGCCAAGAAGUUAAAAAACUCAAAAACUACCAACAUUAACUUAAUGAUGAAUACCAUUACCAUUUAUUCCGUGCAGGGUCAUUUACUAAUUGGACCCAACGGCCAUACAUGGACCUGGAUGGUAUAUAUCACCAAUAUAUAUAUAUAUAUAUAUAUAUAUAUAGAGAGAGAGAGAGAGAGAGAGAGAGAGAGAGUUCGGUUGGUAUUUAUUUAAAAGUACGGAGUUCUCCGUGCUUUUAUGUUUUUUUCGAUGUCAGGACUUCUGAAUCAACGAUCGCUCUGUUAUUCUUGAUUUAAAAUAUUUGAUCGAAGUACUUCAAAAAUAAAUUUCGUGAUUUUUUGAUAUCAUUUGCCUAGUAAUCGAAGGGGCUUAAAAUUAAUGGCUGAAAAUAAAAAUCUCAUAAAUUGUGCUUAUAUGAAACUAAAAUUUUAGAUCAAAGAUACUAUAUAGUAUAAAGAAUUUUCCUCCAAAUUUUUUCAUGAUUUGAAUAUUUUUACACCGUUAAAUUUGCAAAUGGCUCAUCAUGAUAUUUAAAAUUAUUGAUUUUGAGCUUUUUUGAUCACUAGAUAAGUGAUAUUAAAAAUUCGUGAAAUUUAUUUUUGAGGUAUUUUAAAUAUUUUAGACCGAAUCUAAUGAAACUGAUUGUGGAUUCAAAAAUUUCACGGAGGAUCCCAUACUUCUAAAUAUAUAAUGCUUAAUUAACUCUCUCUCUCUCUCUCUCUCUAUAUAUAUAUAUUUAUAUAUAUAUACAAAUGUUAGGCCCUGUGAGUCACGUGAGAAUCAAAUAUAGUGUAAGUGGAAGCAAAAAUAAAGCAAAUGUAGGGCUUGGAUAUGGUGGUGGUGGUGUGGUGGGGAGAGGUGGUGUGGACUUUUGGACUAGUAUUACAAUACAAGCUUUAAACUUUUUAUGGGAGAAUAUAUAUGGAAUUAAAACUCUACUUGUAUAUGGAAAAUGUAAAUAACCUCCUCAACUAUAGCCUUUGAAAUAUAUAACUUCCUCCGCACAGUAGUUUUUUUUAUCAAAUUUAAUGGCUCGUUUAGUUAUUAACUAUUAAAGGAUGUAAAAUUUAUUUGCUAAACUGCAACUAAAAUCAUGAGAAAUAAUCUCCAAAUUUUUUGAAUCUAUUUACUUAAUUUUUUUUUAAGAAAAAAAUCAGAAGUGGAUGGACAAAAUAUCAAUAUAUAAAAAAAGUUGGGGGUCACUGUUCACCAUUCCCUUCACACUUGGACACUUCUUCAGCUCUCUCUCUCUCUCUACACUUUUCUCUCUCUCUCUCUCUCUCUCUCUCUCUCUCUCUCUCUCUCUCUCUAUAUAUAUAUAUAUAUACAUACAUAAUUUUACGUAUAUAAAUACCAACAUUGUGAGGAUGAUUAUUGAGCAAGCCUAGCUAACUCAAACUUCUUUUUUUGUUGUUCUUCUCCUUCUCCUUCUUGUUGUUUUAAGAGAUAAAGAGAGGGUUCAAAUUAAGAUGUUCAUUAUUAUGAGGAGCACCUUAUUUGUCAUAUUAUUAUUGUUGCUUGUGUUUGAGAUGCAAAAGUGUUCAUCAUUACCAGAGAAAUACGACACAGGAUUAAGUAGGAGGAGUUUCCCACCUGGAUUUGUCUUUGGAAUAGCUUCUUCAUCAUACCAGGUUAGUGGUUUUUUUUUAAAAAAAAUAAUUUAUGAACUGGUUAUUGUUCUUGGGAUUAUUUAUUUAUUUAUUUACUUAUUUGAACAUGUAUAUAUCUUGGUUCUUCAAGAUUAAUUAUAUGGAUUUUUUUGGGUUUUUUUUUUUUUUUGUUUUACCCUCUCAAUUAAUCCACUAUACGUGAAGUAUAUGAAAGAUAUAUAUCUAUUAUUUUUGGUAAGGAAAAAUUGUUUUUUUUUAAAAAAAGAGAUCAUUUCAUGCAUGUUUUUUUUAAUGUUUUCUUAAUUAAAUCGUUUAAAAUACGAUGGACAUAAUGUAUUUAAUUUCCACCUUUUCUUGGAAAAAAAAAAAGCCAAAAAAAGAGUCGAGGAGAGGAAAAAAAGAGAGAUUUGUGUGCAUUUAAUAGAGAGACAGAGAGAGGAAAAUUUAAAACCAAAAUUUAUCACCAAAUAUUGUAAAGAAUUAUUAUUUAUUAUUUAUUUCUUUUUUCUUUUCAUGUGAAAUUUAUCGAAUAAAUGAAAAAAAAAAGAUAAGAAAAAGUUCACGUGCAUUGUUUUAAGCGGAGGAGGAGGAUUCCGAUAAUUGAGCGCUUAGUUGAGACCCAUUCACACGCAAAAAACGGUUGUUGUAGCAACGGCUCGUUAAUGGGGGCCCACUACGAGGAUUGUCAAUGAAAUAUGUGAUGAUUGUGGGCUUUUAUGAAAAAUGGCCCAGUUUAUAUUUGACUAGCCAAAAAAAAAGAAAAAAAAAGAAAAAAUAAAAAAUAAAAAAAGAGUAUGUUAUGGAAAGAGUUUAAAUAGGUUUUCGAGUAUAAAAAUAAAAAAUCUAAUUUAGAAUCGCUGCUUUUACUAUAGCAAAUAUGCAGCUCUACUCAAUUAGUACUUCAAAAACUUUUAAGUGUUGAAAAUUUAUUUUUGAAAGAAACAUUUCAUCUUUCAUCUUAUAAUCUCCAAAGUAUUUCGUAUUUAACACUCCCAAGUUUGUGUGGAUUCGGAGCGCCUUUUUUUUUUUUAACAAGGUUGCGAUUUGAAAUUAAGUUAAAUAGGGAGAAAUUGAAUGAAAUUGAAAAUCUGUAAACACUUGAACUCAGAAUCUCCUCAUCUGGUGUUGAUAAUGUGAGAGCAAUCUUUUUCUAUCAGUGUAAGCUUUUUGGAAAAACAAAAAUUGGCUCUUCUAAUAAUUAUUGUGUGUAUCUCUCCAUUGUUUAUAAUAUAGUAAUAAUAUUAUUAAUUUCAUACAUGCAUCUCAGUAUGAGGGAGCUGUGAAAGUGGCUGGGAGAGGACAAACAAUUUGGGACACAUUUGCUCAUUCAUUUGGUAACACUUAUUUUGUGAAACAACUAUUGUACUGUAAAAACUUAAAAUGUUAGAGAACAGUGUUUAACUAUUUUUAUAUUUAACACUCCCCUUCAAGUCUGGGCUCGAGAUUUUUUAGUCGAUCCAUGACGUGGGUUUGAAUUAAAUGGGAGGAAAUUAAUAUGCUAGGAGUCUGGCAUGACUCGAACUCAGGACCUCACGCUCUGAUACUAUGUGAAACAACCGUUGUACUCUAGAAGCAAAAGCUUUUAGAUUUUAGAGUACAACGGUUGUUUCACAUAUUUCAUAUUAAUUUGUUGCACUGUAACCAAAAAACUAAAAUAAAGAUGAAAUUGAAAAAUUAACUAAAUUACAGUAGUUUGUUUUAUCACAGCUUCAAAAGAAAAUUAGAAAAAAAAAAAAAAAAAACCAUUUUCAAAUUUGCAGGUAAGGUGAUCGAUUUCAGCAACGCCGAUGUCGCGGUUGAUCAGUACCACCGUUUCGCGGUGAAUUUCUUUACGAUUUAUCACGAAUAAUUAACUUAAUUUUUUUAAAAAAUUAACACUGUUAUGAUUUAAUAAUUAUGGAAUCAUAUAUGGUUUUGUUUCAGGAAGAUGUACAGCUUAUGUCAGAUAUGGGAAUGGAUGCAUACAGAUUCUCAAUUGCAUGGUCUCGAAUUUUUCCGAGUAUGUAUAUGUCCACUUACUCAGCUAAAAAUAUAGUUUUAUUUAUCGUUACAAAUUAUUUAAAAUUAGUUGAUAGAUUUGUAAAAUUUUCAUAUUUAGAUGGAACUGGUGAAAUCGAUCGGCGCGGGAUCGAUCACUACAACAGAUUGAUCGAUGCAUUGCUAGCAAAAGGUAAGCAGGAAAAUUUUGAACCAUUUUUAUUUUUGUGACAACAUUAAUGCAAUGAAUUGAUUGAUGCUUUUACUGCUAAUUUAUUUGCGUAUGUGAAAAUGUACAGGAAUUGAACCAUAUGUGACCCUUUAUCAUUGGGACCUUCCUCAAGCAUUGGAAGAUAAAUACAACGGUUGGCUCGAUCGGCAGAUCAUGUGAGACUUUUCUUCUUUUUUCGUUUUCUUGAUCUGCAGCAAAUCACCUGUUCGCAAUUCUCGAAAAAGAGAGAGAGAUACGGUUGUCGGAUCGUUGGCGCUAAUCAUUAAUCUCAGAAGCUCGAACUGUUAGAAAUACGCAACCAAUUUACUUAAAAUGUACAGACACAGUGCCUACGGAUCUCAAUUGCGACUCGACCCAACUAUCCUCUCACCACUUCAAAUAUGAUUCAGCCCAGCCUGACCUCCUGCCACAGAGCAGAAUGUUGGCUCCUUUUAAGCCAAGAACUGUGACGCCCCACUUCUCAUGGGGAGUCACCUAUCCUAAAAUCAUUUUAGUUCUAGCACACUUAAUCCCCUUUUAACCUUUUGGACGUAACUAACUGCCGUCCAAAAUAUUAUAGCCGGGUUAAGAGAUUUAGUCCUAUUAUAUCUUAUAUAUCGAAUUUUAAAUCCUAGAGGCGUCACAGAUACGUUUCAUUGAUAUCAUUUGCAGAAAAGACUACGCAAACUACGCAGAGACAUGCUUCAAGGUGUUUGGAGACAGGGUGAAGCACUGGAUAACAUUCAAUGAGCCCCACACAUUCGCGAUUCAAGGCUACGACGUCGGGCUCCAGGCGCCCGGGCGCUGCUCCAUUCUCCUCCAUCUCUUCUGCCGAGCUGGAAAUUCGGCCACUGAGCCGUAUAUCGUUGCCCACAACGUCCUGCUGUCGCAUGCUGCUGUCGCAGACAUAUACAGAAGAAGCUACAAAGUAUGUGCGCAAAUUAUACUCGAUUUUUUCUGAGGAUGCAUAUGCUAUGCUGUUUAUCUCAUACAUUCAUCUGACUUUACACUUUGAUUUAUAACGCAGUCGACGCAGCACGGAUCGGUCGGAAUAGCAUUAGAUGUUAUGUGGUUCGAACCGAUGACGAAUAGUUCUGAAGAUAUUGCUGCAACACAAAGAGCACAGGAUUUCCAAUUUGGAUGGUACAAUCACCAAUUUGCCUACAUCAUUACAUAAAUGAAAAGCAAUGUAUCGAUCAAUCUGAUACAUUGAUCUUUGAAUCUGACAGGUUCAUGGAUCCCUUAUUCUUUGGGGACUAUCCAAUUUCAAUGAGAACAAGGGUUAAAAACAGAUUGCCAAGAUUUACAAGUGAUGAGGCUGCUCUAAUCAAGGGGUCCUUAGAUUUUGUGGGAAUCAAUCACUAUACAACAUAUUAUGCGCAGAAAAGUUCUACCGAUAUAAUCGGCCGGUUACUCAAUGAUACCCUGGCGGAUUCAGGCGCCGCUACUCUACGUAAGUUCAUUGUACAUUCGCAUGAACAACUUGCUUUUGUUUGUGUAGGUUAACACAAGAAACAAUUGCUUCUCUUUUUAAAAGAUUACAGGCCACCUGUAACAGGAAUGAGAAUCAAUCAUUUUACACCUGGUGGAAAUGGAAGGACAUGUUUCACAUUCAAUGACAUCUAAAAUUGUUUUUUUUCUUUCAUUUGUUUGCAGUUUUACAGUCAACCUAACAACAUAUUUUCUAACUUUGCAGCCUUCAAGGAUCUGCGACCAAUCGGAGAUAGGGUAAGACAUAAUGCGAAAAAUAAAUAGAGCUGUAAAGUUGCUUCGAAUGGAACAUAUGAGGCCUCUCUCACUAAAAUACCAUCUUUUUUCUGAAUUCUACCUGAUCUUCAGAAGGUGGAAGAUGCUAAAUAAGUGAAACUACAGAACAUUUGAUUGUGAACUUGGAAAUAGAAAAGUACAUGGUCCUUUUUCCAGCUAGGAACUGACAAUUACUUUCAUUUGUUUCAUGCAAUUGAUGGACAAUAGUUUUGAAUGAAAUUUGAGGCCUAGAUUUUUGUCUGAAAACAGGCUAAUUCAAUAUAGCUAUAUAUCGUACCUCGAGGAAUGAGAAGCCUGAUGAACUACAUCAAGCAGAAGUACAGCAAUCCACCAGUUUUCAUCACAGAAAAUGGCUAGUAUAUUUCUCACAAAAGUUAGCUACAGAUUCACAACAUUUGCUUAAUUUAGGUUAAAUUUUAAGUUUGUUGCUCAUUUGCAGGGAUGGAUGAUCCAAAUAGUCCCUCCAUUUCCAUCAAGGAUGCUCUGAAGGAUGAUAAAAGAAUCAACUAUCACAAUGAUUACCUCGCAAACUUGUCGGCCGCCAUCAGGUAAUUUCAUGAUCAUGGAUUGAUUACAUGUAUGACUCUGUACAACAAAUUUACCCAGAAACAUGGAAAGAUGCAUUAAAUUGUAUUUAUUCACUAUUUUGAGAGAAAACAAUGAAAGGUGGAUAUAUACCCAAAUGUGCUGAUAAUUUUGGGGUUCGAGUUCGAGGUUAAUCAAAAUUUUGGAUAGUUUUCAAUGAAAAAGAACACAUGAUCUCUCUAUUUGGUUUUGUUAUCAUGGCAAAAUAUUUAUUGUAUCUGCAGCAUGAUACCUUCUCUAUGCUUACUAAUUUAACAUUAGAAACUUCAGAUUCAAUAUCCAUGCAAACCAAAUAAUGGUAACAAGAAUUAACUUAAAAAAGGACAUGAACACUUACAAUCUCUUCUUUCUAUCUUCUUUUUCUUCUUUUCCGAAUGCAGGGAGGACGGUUGUGAUGUGCGCGGUUACUUCGCGUGGUCUCUUCUGGACAACUGGGAAUGGGCCGCUGGUUACACUUCAAGGUUCGGGCUAUAUUUCGUCGACUACAACAACAAUCUGACGAGAUACCCUAAGAACUCAGUCCAUUGGUUCAGGAACCUACUGAGCUCUUCCUAAUUGUAGUCCUAGGACUUGCAUGCAGCUUCCAUAUCUCUUAUGUUAUUGUAGCCCAAAUUACCUGGAUUGUAGUUAAUUGUUCUUGGAUUUGAUUUGAGAAAUUUUCCUAAGAAACACUUGUAAUUGAGUCCUUUACACUACAAAAAAAAACAUUGGAUUGGUACAGUUAAUUUGUUCAGAUACAGAAUCUAUCAAUAGUUUGGGCUAAGUAGGGCUAGCUAUGAACUUGCAAUGUAGCAACAUAUACCAAUGUUAAAGGGGGUGUUUGCUUUUCAGGAAAAAAUCCCAGAAAUUAGUUUUCUGACUAAAAAAGUUUUUUUUUUUGUUUGUUUGGUCCUUUUUUUCCCAAAUUUCAUGGAAAACUUUCUUUUUGUUAACCUAUUCUUUUUAUCCGCAAACAUGUUUUCCAUGGAAAAUUUUUUUCUCGGAAAACAAAUUUCCCCGAUUUUCCGAGGAACCAAACAACCCCUGAAGGAAAGUUCUGAAAUGAAAGAUAACUUAUACAGCUUAGCUCUACUUAUUUUGUU